CCUGCUAUCUCUACUCCUCCUCCUCCUCCUCCUUCUCUUCUCUUUGUCCUCCACUCCCAUUCAUCGUGGCAGCUUGCUGCACGAUGCUUUUUACCUCCCCUACCUCCUUUGUAAACGCGCAUAUCCUCCACAACUCCUCCCACUCCUCCUCCUCCUCCAUCUCCUCCAUCUCCGCCCUCAACCAGCAUGUAGCCCAGCAACACCUGGCCGCCGCCGCCGCUGGCUGGCUUUCUCACUCUUCCCUCUUGCUCAACACCGCUGCUUCUCCGCAGGCUGCUCAACCUCCGCUGCCGCGGCUUGUCAUCCUGGUCCUGUCCGCAGUCCUCGAGAUCGUCUGCGUCAGUCUCCCCGGCUAUAUCCUAGCCCGUAUGGGCAGGUUUGAUGCGGAGGCCCAGAAAUUCGUCGCCAAUCUCAAUGUCGCACUGUUUACCCCAUGUCUCGUCUUCACAAAACUCGCCUCCCAAUUAACCGCGGGAAAACUGACAGACCUGGCCAUCAUCCCUUGCAUCUUCGCGGUCCAGACUGCGGUCUCCUAUCUGUGUGCCUCCGUGGUCUCUCGGCUGUUCCGCUUCAACAAGCCCCAGUCCAACUUUGUGGUCGCCAUGGGCGUCUUUGGGAACUCCAAUUCGCUACCCAUCUCGCUCGUGUUGUCGCUGGCCCACACUCUAGAAGGCCUGCGCUGGGAUCGCAUACCAAACGACAACAGCCAGGAGGUUGCAGCCAGGGGCAUCCUCUAUCUCCUGAUCUUCCAGCAACUGGGCCAGCUGCUUCGAUGGAGCUGGGGCUAUCGCGUCCUCCUAGCUCCGCCGGAGUCAUACCACAGAGACGAGGAAGAAAUCGCUGCCGCCCGCAUCCGCAGUUCCGAACCAUAUACUGACGAACCGGACAAUGCCACAACACCUGAAUAUAGCCAGACACUCAUAGACACCACCGAUAGCGAUAAUGUCGAACAUGCCGCGCCCAGCGGCUCAUCGAGUUUCGCAGAUAUAAUAUCCCAUUUUGAAUCCGGAGGAGUAACCCCUAUCACAACACGACAGUACCAAUUUGUCCCUAGCCAAUUCUCCACGCACCAAAUGCCAGAACCCCAGCCCCAACUUGAAGAACAACUGCCAACCCCCCCAAGCUGGCGCUACCCGCUCCAUAAACUCGGCUACCAUGUUAAAUUCACCUCCCGCACCCUGGCAACAGCCCUCCACACCCGAUCCAAAGCCCUCUUCCACCGCCUCCCCCUCCCGGUCCAAAAACUCAUCUGCACCAUCUCCCAUAACCUCGCCCGCUUCCUCUGCGGCCUAUGGUCCUUCAUGAACCCACCGCUCUGGGCCAUGCUAGCCGCCAUAAUCGUCGCCUCCAUCCCGUCCCUCCAACUCGUCUUCUUCAACCCAAGCACCUUCAUCAACAACUCCGUCACCCGCGCCAUCCAGCAGAGCGGCAACGUCGCCGUGCCCUUGAUCCUCGUCGUACUCGGCGCUAACCUCGCCCGCAAUACCCUCCCCGACCCCACCACCACCACCAUCACAUGCAGCGCGCCCGACCUCUACCAGCGCGAGGAGCGCAACCUCAUCGUAGCCUCCCUGCUCGCGCGCAUGUUGCUGCCCACCUUGAUCAUGGGCCCCCUGCUCGCGCUGGCCGCCAAAUUCGUCUCCGUCAGCAUCCUGGACGACCCCAUCUUCGUGGUCGUGUGCUUCCUGCUCGCUGGCGCGCCGUCCGCGUUGCAGCUGGCGCAGAUCUGCCAGCUGAACAACGUGUACAUGGGCGCGAUGGCCCGGCUGCUGUUCCAGAGCUAUGUUGUCUGGAUCCUCCCCUCCACCCUCCUCCUCGUCAUCCUUGCGCUCAAGGUCGUCCAGUGGGCGACGGCCGCGUGAAGUGCACGAUCAAGGACGCGAAAAUGAAAUGAUAGAAAAUGGAAAAAACACAUCACGUUUCUUCUUCUUCUUCUUCUUUUCAAAGCAUGUAGCAUAGCAUGUCGUGUACAGUAGUACUAUUUGACAAAGAUUUUUUUUUUUAAUUUUUGAUCUUUCGGGGAGUUCCCUUUCGUUUUCGUUUCCCCCUUCUCUACAGAUCUUUGUUUUUCGGUUUGGUCGACCAGCCACGAUUGAUUCCUCGGGGUGUUUUUCUUUUCUUUUCUUUUUUUUUUCAAAAAGGGUGUAUGUUUCCCCCCCGGCAAAACAAAAAAAAGGAACGGCACAAAAACCGGAACCAAAAUGGAGGCUGGGCAUGUUUUUCUAUUCUUUCUUUAUUUUUUCUUUCCUUUUCUUUUCUUUCCCCAUUUUUUUUCUUCUUUCUUUUUAAUACGCUUUAGGGGCCCAUGAAAAGAGAUAGUUGUGGAGGGUUUUGGGGGUCGGGUCGGGAUAUCGAACGCUCUAUCUAUCGGUUCUAUCCAUCUAUCAGCAUUUCCUGGAAAUCGAAGGAAUAAUAAAUCUGUCAGUUAGCUAGCUACCUUGCCCAUGCUUAUGUUUGGGGAAAUGUGUUUUCCAAAAAUAAAUAAAUAAAUAAAUACCUUAAAUCCGUGGGGUUAUUGUAUUGAAACUUACUGCUUCUGGUCCGUCCGCGCCUGCACCGUUCCUGUUUAUUUAGGUACAGUACAACAUCAACAUGCACAGCAUACACACGCCGUCGCCCCUUCCUCUAAUCAUGUCCACGUCCACACUCCUGCUUUGCACCUUCCUCGCGAAGACGCGCAACAUAACAUCCCCGAAAACCAAGAACCAAAAAGAAGAAGAAGAAAAAAAAAAAGGGUUCCCGAAAUGAUCCCUCCCUCCUGCAACCCUCACGCUCGUUUAACUACAUACAUACAACCGCUUCAAUAUCUCUACAUCCUAUAUCUAAUCUAUCCCAUUGUCAGGACCCUCUCCCCCACCUUACAACCCCAA
rnacentral:sRNA from 1 species